rnacentral:rRNA from 1 species
GAUGAACGCUGGCGGCGUGCCUAAUACAUGCAAGUCGAGCGAACAGACGAGGAGCUUGCUCCUCUGACGUUAGCGGCGGACGGGUGAGUAACACGUGGAUAACCUACCUAUAAGACCGGGAUAACUUCGGGAAACCGGAGCUAAUACCGGAUAAUAUAUUGAACCGCAUGGUUCAAUAGUGAAAGACGGUUUUGCUGUCACUUAUAGAUGGAUCCGCGCCGCAUUAGCUAGUUGGUAAGGUAACGGCUUACCAAGGCGACGAUGCGUAGCCGACCUGAGAGGGUGAUCGGCCACACUGGAACUGAGACACGGUCCAGACUCCUACGGGAGGCAGCAGUAGGGAAUCUUCCGCAAUGGGCGAAAGCCUGACGGAGCAACGCCGCGUGAGUGAUGAAGGUCUUCGGAUCGUAAAGCUCUGUUAUUAGGGAAGAACAAAUGUGUAAGUAACUAUGCACGUCUUGACGGUACCUAAUCAGAAAGCCACGGCUAACUACGUG